UACGAAGGGGGGCUAGCGUUGCUCGGAAUUACUGGGCGUAAAGGGCUCGUAGGCGGUUUGUCGCGUCGGGAGUGAAAUCCACUGGCUUAACUGGUGGCUUGCUUUCGAUACGGGCAGACUGGAGGUAUGCAGGGGAGAACGGAAUUCCUGGUGUAGCGGUGAAAUGCGCAGAUAUCAGGAGGAACACCGGUGGCGAAGGCGGCUUUCUGGACGGUAACUGACGCUGAGACGCGAAAGCGUGGGGAGCAAACAGG
rnacentral:rRNA from 1 species